rnacentral:lncRNA from 1 species
ACGCUGACGCGGUAGUACUUGCCGCAGGCAGUGCCCAGGUCAACGUUGUCUGGAGGGAAGGCACGGAGGGAAGGUGAGGAAAGCAGCGGGCAAUGGGUGCGCUCAACAACAAAUAAAUGCGCAGCGCCAAAGCCCCAUGGAAGCCGGUAUUGACUAGGCAUCAAGCAUAUUGAGGACCGCCACUUACUGCCGCCGUAGUGGUGCACGCCGGUCUUGGCGAGCAUAGCGUAGUACUCCACCUCAGACUUGCGCACAGCGGGGCAGUUGUUGCAGAUGAUGACCAGCUUGGCUGCGGUGGGCAAGAAGAGGAGACAAAGUUGGUGAGAUAGAUGUGCAGUUUUCUGGUGGAGAAGGCAGCGUGCGGUGCUGAGCCCCACACAGGGCACAAGGGGCAGGGGGUGCGGGUUGAGGAAGCACCAGUCGGCGGGCGUCGGCGCGAGCGCAAACUUACCCUUGCCCGAGCGCAGGGUCUUCAGGCAGGUCUUGUAGCCCAGAGUGUACUUGCCACUCUUCAUCACCAGCGCCAGACGGGCGUUGAUGUUCUCCUGGGUCUUCUUCUGCGGGUGCACAAAGUACGCGCGCGACCGAGGUUCAAUACCUGAUUUGAUUUUGUAGCCACCUUACGCUGGACGACCAGCGACGGCGGCGACUCUCCGUUUUGACGGCUGCGGCUAGUUUUGCUACUGCAUCUGCCCUACGCACCGUCUUCUUAGUAGCGGGGGCCAUUUUUCCUUGUGUUUUGCCUCCUUCUCAGCCUGGAAAGAAAAUGCAAGGUCCAUCCGUCAGAACUGGAAACAGCGAGCCGUGCGAGCGGGGCUCGGGGGCGCAGCAGCCAGAGCCGCCGCGCACCCGAGACACCCUCAAGCUGGCGGUAUGUGGGCCUAACAUCGCUAAGCUAAUUAUUGACGGACC